CAGUAGCCGCGGUAACACGGAGGGUGCAAGCGUUAUCCGGAUUUAUUGGGUUUAAAGGGUCCGUAGGCGGAUCUGUAAGUCAGUGGUGAAAUCUCACAGCUUAACUGUGAAACUGCCAUUGAUACUGCAGGUCUUGAGUAAAUUUGAAGUGGCUGGAAUAAGUAGUGUAGCGGUGAAAUGCAUAGAUAUUACUUAGAACACCAAUUGCGAAGGCAGGUCACUAAGAUUUAACUGACGCUGAUGGACGAAAGCGUGGGGAGCGAACAGGAUUAGAUACCCCUGUAGUCCCUGUCUCUUAUAC
rnacentral:rRNA from 1 species